UUUAAUCACUCCUUGAAGAAGUGGCAUAAUUACUAACCCUCCUUAUUAUCUUCAAGAUUUUCAUUGUUAUAUGUUAAACCUAGUUCUCAUUCUACUGAUGUUCAAGAUUGUCUAUAUAAAAGUUCCACUUGUUCUUGACGUCCCACGUUAAAGCAUUGUAUGCAAACUCAAAAGAUCUCUCUAUGGAUUGAAACAAGCAAGUCAACAGUGGAAUACUAAAUUAUGUUGUUCUUUGAAACAGUUUGGAUUUAUCCAAUCCAAAUCAGAUUAUUACCUGUUUUCAUGUUUUUCUUUUGCUAGUUUUAUUGUCAUUAUUAUUUGUGUUGUCCACUUUCUUUUUGUUGGUGACAGUUUGAUUGAAAUGUAGUCUAUUUAAGUCUUCUUUAUUGUUAGCAUUAAGCACAUUGUUGUUCUUAAAUAUUUCUUUGGUUAUGAAAUAGAUCUCAAUGAUAAUGGUACAUCCUUGUGCCAACGAAAAUACUCACUGGAUUUACUCAAAAACACAGGUUGGUUGGUUCAAAACCAUGUUCUAACAUCUAUGGAUGCUAAUUUUAAAUUGUCUAGCACCAUUUGCUAGCCCCUCCUAAUGCCACUAUUUUUAUAAAGAUCAUUGGGCAGCUCUUGUAUCCCACUAACAUUCAUCCUGAUAUUCCUUUCUCUAUUUGCAGGUUAAGUCAAUUUCUAUUUUCCCCUACCAACCUGCACAUGCAAGCUACUCUUUGUGUUGUUGGAUUUCUCAAAAACAAUCCUAGAAAUGGCCUAUUCUUUUUGUAAACUCGUCAUCCAACAUCAAAUGUUUUUGCAACUCCGACUAGGGUGCAUGUCUAGAAAUUAGGAGGUCAAUCACGGAUUUUUGUUUCUUUAUUGACACUUUACCUAUUUCAUGGAAAAGCAAGAAACAAUCCAUUAUUCUUGGUUCAUCAUUUGAAGCCAAAUAUUGCACGCUCACUCAAGUCACAUGUGAAGCACAAUGACUCUUGUAUUUACUGCACGAACUACACAUUCCUCAUCCUAAACCGAUUGUUAUAUAUUGCGACAACAAAUUUGUACUUCAUAUCGCUUUGAAUCUGGUUUUCCAUGAAAGAACCAAACACAUAGAAAUAAAUUGGCAUGUGGUUCAAGACAAGAUUCAAGGCGGAAUCCUUCAUAUUAUGCAUAUUCUUUCUGUUGAACAAGUUGUAGACGUUUUCACAAAAGCUUUGCAUCCAUUUCCCUACUUUCAUCUUUUGUCCAAACUUGGAAUGUUAGAUAUUGAUUCCAAUUUGAGGGGAUAUUGGAACUAAUUAACCCCUUAUUUAUAUUUUUAAUCUAUUUUUAA